CCUCUGGUGUGUCCAUCUGGAGUCGUGCCGGCCGAGGAGGCUCUCCUGCAGCUCAGCCGCCGCCCGCAGCCUCCGUGGGUGCCGGUCCUUGGUGAGGAGGCCAUGCUCCAUGGGGAUGCCUGGAGGAGAGACAGUGUCGGAACCCCAGGCCGCUCACAGCCCCCUGGAGAAGCCGCCCAGCACCGCCAUCCUGUGCAACACCUGCGGGAAUGUGUGCAAGGGGGAGGUGCUGAGGGUCCAGAACAAGUACUUCCACAUCAAGUGCUUCGUCUGCAAAGCAUGUGGCUGUGACCUGGCCGAGGGUGGCUUCUUCGUGCGGCAGGGCGAGUACAUCUGCACGCUGGACUACCAGCGCCUGUAUGGGACCCGCUGCUUCAGCUGCGACCAGUUCAUCGAGGGCGAGGUGGUGUCGGCGCUGGGCAAGACCUACCACCCCGACUGCUUCGUGUGUGCCGUGUGUCGAUUGCCUUUCCCGCCGGGGGACCGAGUGACUUUCAAUGGGAAGGAAUGCAUGUGCCAGAAGUGCUCCCUGCCCAAGACAGCGGGCAGCAGUGCGUACCUGUCCCAGGGCCUCUGGAGUUGUGGAGGCUGCGGCGCAGAAAUAAAAAAUGGUCAGUCCCUAGUGGCUUUGGACAAACACUGGCAUUUGGGCUGUUUUAAGUGUGAGACGUGCGGGAAGCAGCUCGAUGCGGAGUACAUCAGCAAGGACGGGCUGCCCUACUGUGAGGCCGACUACCACACCAAGUUCGGCAUCCGCUGUGACGGCUGUGAGAAGUACAUCACGGGGCACGUGCUGGAGGCAGGAGAAAAACACUACCACCCAUUGUGUGCGCUAUGCGUCAGGUGUGGCCGGAUGUUUGCGGAAGGCGAGGAGAUGUAUCUUCAAGGUUCCUCCAUCUGGCACCCGGCGUGCCGACAAGCAGCCAGAACUGAAGACAAAAACAAGAUGCACGCCCAGGGUUGCCACCAAGUGUCCCGGGGCGCCACUCCCUAUGCCUUACAGGAAACCAGGAGCUCCUCAGAGAGCAUCAUUUCUGUACCUGCUUCCAGCACCUCGGGGUCUCCAAGCCGCGUGAUCUAUGCGAAGCUGGGCGAUGAGAUUCUCGACUACAGGGACUUGGCUGCUCUUCCUAAAAGCAAGGCCAUCUAUAACAUCGACCGCCCCGACAUGAUCUCCUACUCGCCGUACAUCAGCCACUCGGCGGCCGGCAGGCAGAGCUGCCACGAGUCCCCACAGGUACUUUCGCCAACGCCGACCGAGGGGGAUCAGGAUGACCGCUCCUACAAGCAGUGCCGGACCUCCAGCCCCAGCUCCACUGGGUCAGUCAGUCUCGGGCGCUACACUCCGACCUCACGGUCGCCCCAGCACUACAGCCGUCCAGCUGGUACUGUGAGUGUUGGUACCAGUAGCUGCCUGUCCCUGUCCCAACACCCAAGCCCUACAUCCGUGUUCAGACAUCAUUACAUCCCCUACUUCCGAGGCAGUGAAAGUGGCCGGAGCACCCCCAGCCUCUCGGUGCUCUCAGACAGCAAGCCUCCCCCCUGCACCUACCAGCAGGCGCCUCGCCACUUCCACGUCCCAGACACUGGCGUAAAAGAUAACAUCUAUAGGAAACCCCCUAUCUACAAACAGCAUGGUCCUGUAGCCCAAUCCCCAAUUUCCAAGCUCUCGGGCCUGAUGUCAGCCUUGUCCUUGAUGGUGCACAAGGCAGGGUGCUCCAAAAGGCUGGAAGGUCCAAGCCCUCCGCAGGCUGCAGCCGUCAGGCGACCGGAUGGAGAGGACAGAAUGUUCGAGCAAGAUAACAGGAAGCAGAAGACCAGCUGGCUGAUUCUCAAGGGGGAUGCAGACAGUAGGACUAACUCUCCAGACCUAGACAGCCAGUCUUUGUCCCACAGUAGCGGGACCGAUAGAGACCCUCUCCAAACAAUGCAAGGGGACAACUUUUACUCACGAUUCCCCUAUUCCAAAUCUGACCCUCUCCCAGGACACGGAAAGAAUGGCUUGGACCACCGGAAUGCCAAUCUGGCCCCUUGUGGAGCAGACCCGGAUGCCAGCUGGGGCACGCGAGAAUACAAGGUAAGAGGGGCUGCCCGCUGCCACGCCGACCUCUUCCCGCCACGAUGCACCGGCCCAGAUCUAUCCUUAUGACGCCCUCAUUGUCACAAACCGAAUUCGUGUGAAACUGCCCAAAGAUGUGGACAGGACGCGACUGGAGAGGCACCUGUCGCCCGAGGAGUUCCAGGAAGUGUUUGGGAUGAGCAUGGAAGAGUUUGACCGCCUGGCCCUCUGGAAGAGGAAUGACCUCAAGAAGAAAGCCCUGUUGUUUUGACGGCCGCCAGGGUGCCUGACCACACGCGUGCCAGCAGCAGAGCACGGGGCACCUGGCGAGAACCACGAAAACCCUUCCUCUUGCACCUGGCUCUGGCUUCUCUGUGUCCGUGAGGGGUGGGCAGUGGGCCCCUGGAGAGGGCUGGGCUGGAGGCUGGGGCAGGAGGGGGUCCCAGAGUAGGUGCAACCACUGUUUCUGCCAGCAAUGCUCCUGCCCCUAGUUCAGAGCCCGGACGCCUUGCUUUGCACUGCUCCUUCCCCGCUGUUGCUUGGCAUCAGGGAGAUGCUGCAAAGUAGCUGUCCCAGGAAAUCAAGGAACAUUUCCCUGACCAUGCAGCCCACCCUUCCGACCCCCGUGCAGUGCCCCAACCCCUGCACUAAGCCCUGGGGGCACAGAGGUGCCUGAGACUUGGGAUUUGAGGAGGUUUGUCGAUGACAGAUGCUGACACAAUCAUGGGUGGGUGGGCAGAUGGCUCCUGGGGCCUGCUCACCCCCCACCCCUUGCUCAGCCCCGGGGAGGCCCGGCCUUGCACACAGACGGGCCAGGCCAGGGAGAGUGCUGCAGAGCACCCAGGGCUGCACAAAGUGAAGUGUGGGGUGCAUGAUUUUUUUGCAGCCGCUUGUGAGGAGUCUGGUUUUAGGGACAAACGUCAACCUGACAGGGUACUGUCUGCCAGGGCCCUCCGUGCACUGCAUUUUUCUUCCAAAUCAUCCCCUAGAUGCCUAAAUGAUAUCUUUAAAGUAACACAGAAGUUUUUAUUUUAUUAAAGAGCAUAGCCUACUUAAACAUAAGACGACAUAUAUAGAGUUCCAUUUUACGGUCCCACGGAAGGGGAGCGCCUCCAGCCUUAUUCUCCACUGUUUGGAUCUGUGUGGUUUUGCUUUUUGGUGUGCUCCUAACACCUAGGGCUCCUUGUUGGUGUUCUUUUCAUCUUUUUUUUUUCUUUUUCACCUGUCACACGGGUGCCCUUAAAGGCAGCCCUUGGCCACGUGAUGCUGUUUGUAAGUAUGUGUGAAGUGUAGCCACCACGGUCUGCCUCGCUGUCACUCUCCACGUCUUGGAGACAAAACAUCCUCUUCUGGUGGCCAAAGCCCCGGAACAAAGGAUUUCCAUGCACCCAGCCGAAUAAUACCCAACUACCCAACAUAGCUCUUGAUCUGCCCUUUUGUGAUGUGGCCUGUGUGGUGCCUGCCUCCCCCCCCCCCCCCCCCCGCAGUGAAACAUGACCCCCCACCCCCUGGGGGUAAAGUGUCUUCUUGUGUGCGUGGUCCUGAGACAGGCACCUGCCCGCUGGGGAGGGAGGAGGGAGAGCCACCCUCUUCUGGCCUCCAAGGUCAGCAGGUGGUCCUGCAGCAGAAGGCUUGGCCGGACCCCCCACUGAAAGGUGUCCGUGUCUGUAAUUAGGAGAUGGCAGGGUGUGCUGCCUGUCACAGGACGCUUGUACAGUGAGUUCAGAGGCAUAUGAAACACUAGGAAGGUGUCACCAAAGUCUGUUUCCCUGUCUUCUGUGGAGCUGUGUCCCUCUGUAUGUCCUGGAGGUCCUGUCUGUGAGUCAGCGUUACUCAGAUCCUUCCAGCCUCACCACACACCCUGUUGCGCAUCGGCUUCCCACCAGCCCGGCUCAGCCAGGGAGGCGAGUUUCUAGCACCUGACGCACUUCCCUCCAUUUAGCAGCCUGAGCCCGAGCAACUGGAAACCCCCGUUUUCUCAUUAGUGCAAUGUUAUGUCAGCUCCCAGGGGAGCCUUGGAAAAAUAAAGGACGGUGUAUCCUAACUUGUGAAGGUGAAAACCA